GAUAAUUGUACUCUAUUAUUGUAUAAGUAUCAUUGAUUAUUUCAGUAUAUAUGACUACCAUUUUCAUAUAAGUAAUUAAACAUAACAAUGCCCCUUAUUUAUAUAUAUAAAUAAAGGGCAUAUUAUUCUGAAGAUAGGGAAGGCAAUCUAAUACUACUUAUACUCGAGUACAGCUUCAAACCUCACAAGUUCAUAAUUAUUUUCUGGAAAAUACUUAUCUAUUUCAACCACAUAUGUUAAAGGAUAUCCAUCGCAAGUUUUAGCUUCUAUCACAAGAAUAUAUGACGAUAAUUUUAUCCAAGGAAGAGCAAGGUGUUGGUAACCAGUCACUACACGAAUGAAAACUAAAUUGUCAUUUUCUUUCUUGUUAUGUUCUUCUACAGCUAUCUUUCCAGCUUCUACCACAUUUGGGCUAUGGACAUCCUCAAUCAGUUUAAGAGCAUUUGGAGGUAAUUGUACGCAACUCAUGAUAUUUGGACUGUUGGAUAUGGUUAAUUAGAGAAGAUAUUAGUAGGGUUUUGAUUUUAGGGUUUGGUAUUUAUAGUUGUGAUUCAACGCUCUUGCAACGCUAAACUUGUCUAAUUUGAUAGAAUGGAAUAUUGCAAUUAGACUCAUUAUUACACGUUAAUUAAAAGAAAAGACGAUUGAUAUUCAUCCUCUUUACGCUAAGAGAUAACUUUGAAUCAAAUUCCUCUUUACGCUAAGAGAUAACUUUGAAACAAAUUCCUCUUUUGGGUUCAUAUAGGUUAUGUUAUUUUAGGCAAACAAUGAUGCACCUUUUUGUGAUUUAGCUACAAAUUUUUGGAUAAUUGUUUUAAAUGGUAAAGUUGCUGCAAAUAUUUAAUUUUCAAAUAUGGCAAAAGGUCACUUAUCAACAAAAUGACAAUUUAGUCAUCUUUAUUUGAGCUCAUACUUGGACACUAAAUCAUAAAGAAUAGAAGAGUUUUUGUUCAUAUGAGUAUACUAUGUUAUCUUUGGUUAUUCCAAUUUCUUUUAUUUAUUUAUUUUAUUCGUUGAUUAGUUAGUUUAUAUCCAAACAAAUCAGAAGAUUAGCAGUUUUAGGCUAUUUAGAUUCGGUCAGAUUUUCUUAGGUUGUUUCGUGUGUUUUUUUGUGGGUCUUUUUAUGCGGGACUACGUCUGAGAUGUGUGAUAAUUUUUUUUUUUUUUGAGAAACCAUGAUUCUGAUGAGGUGGAAUUGCUAUUGAAACUUGGCAGCUAUAUCGUUGAUUUUGGUGAGUUCAUCGUACGUGAUAUCUUACUAUUGUGGUAGUUAAAGGUGAAGAAAGUAGAAGCGGAGGGAUCGUACAGAGUCAAGGGAAUGCUUGAUAUUUGAGGUUGUCUUGUAAUAUCUCAUUUAGGGGAACAUGCUCCGGUAUACAUGAGACGGGUUCAGUGCAGAACAAUCCUAGGCAAGUGUAUUUGUAGAUCUUAGAUUGACUGUGUAUAUGAUUAUUCUAUAUCAUGUUGAUUUUUAUAUAAUGGACAAUAGUCUUGUACUCAUGACUAUUUUAUAAGAUAUUAGAUGAUCUCUUCCCAUGGAUUAAAGACCUCCUAGAUGUAGAUGUUGUGACCUCAAACUAGGUCACCAGCUCUCUCUCUUUUUUUUUUUUUUUUUUUUUUUUUUGCAUUUAGUUACUUGUAUGUUUUUCUUUUUCUUUAGUAAAUGAGCGUGGUUUCAUGUGUUAAAACGUCUAAGGUAAAGAUGUCACAUCUUCAAAUUUUAACAUCCAAGUUUGAACCUCUUAAAAUUAUAGACAAUGAAGCGAUAGUAGAAUUUCUCCCCAAUUCUAGGACAGUUGUUUUUUUCUUUUCCAUAUAAAUACCCUAAUUUAUCCCCAAUUCUUUACUAAUUCGCACCAUUCAUCACCUGUAAAAAAGCCGUAAUAGAAUUUUCUCUCAAUAAAAUUGUGUCCAUUUUUUCUCUCUCAUAUUGAUUAUGCAAUUCUUCAAUUCUAGUAUAUAUUUUCGAGUUAUUUGAACUGGCAACCCGAAUAAUCCGAAUUUAGUUUCUAACCCAACUCAACUCGUAAAAUAUAGGUGGAGUUGUCCGGUUGAAUAUAUAAAUAUUUUAUUAAUUUUUCCUCUUUUCUAGUUUCUAAUAGUUAUAAAAGUUUAAAAUUGUUACAUUUAGAUGUCAAACAUACAUGAUUCAAACUUUCAUACAAUAAAUUCAAAAUUUAUAUACCUCUAAUUUGUUUUUAUUAAAAUAACAUUUAUUUAUUUAUUUAUAUAUUGUAUUAAUUCGGAUUGGGUUAGGUUGAACCAAAUUUUUCAACCUCCAACCCAAGACCCAACCCAAUCCGAAAAAAUCAAAUUUUUUUAACCCAACCCAACCCAUAUUUUAACCUAAUCCAAUCCAACCCUUAUAAUAUAGGUUGGGUAGUCCGGGUUAUUCAGGUUCAAUCUAUAUUUGUACACCCCUGUAUUAGUCCUUUAAUUUUCUCCAAGAAAGUAUGAUUUUAAUUAAAAUUUUAGUUUACAAAAUUAAUCCUUUUCGUAAUUGUAAACUAUGAUAAUUAAUUCUACUAACUACUUUCGAUUAAUUUUUUUUAUUUAAUAUUUAAAAUUAUAAACAAACUUUUAUAAGGUUGAUUUUUUAGAUCAAACCAAUUAAAAUUAUUUCAAUCUUUAGUUUAUUUGACUUGUCAUGCAAAAUCUAUAACAAUAAUUUUAAAAUGGGAGUGCUCGUAGUAUAGUUUAAUUUUGAGAACUAAAAUUAAAAAAAAAAGAAAAAGAAAAAAAGAAUUUUAAUUUAUUAUUUGUUAUUAAUCAAAUAUCUAUUUGAAGUUAAAUAAAAAGUAAAUAGUAAUGCAGAUUGUUUGAGUGGUUUAGGUUCCACCCAACAAAGAGAGUUUUCCAUAAUUUUUUUAUUUUCAUGCAUAAAAGAGAAUGAAAAAAAUAUGAAAACACUAAUGUACCCAUUUUUUAAGCCAAUGAUUUUACACCAUGUGUCAAUCAUGAAAAGGUGAAGCCCACCUAAUCCCAAAUCAAGGGACCAAACAGUACCUAUAGGAAUAGUUAGGUUAAUAAUGAAAAUUGUGGAUGACUUUUGUCUAAUGCCAUGCUUCUUAACUUGCUUUCAAAAUAUUAAUUAAUCAAUUCAACUUGCAUGAAAUUCAUGCAAAAGACGGUUUCAUAGAGAAAGUAAUUUGAAAAUAGUUUAUAACAACAUAUCCCAUGUAGAACAUUUCAGUAAUUAACAAAAAGUUUCAUUCUUUUCUUUAUUUUUACUUUUGCAAUUUUACCCUUACAACUUUUAUCUUAACUCUAAAAUAUAUUAUUAAGGUCGAAACAAUUCUAGAAUAGUUAAAUUAAAUCGGUCGUUUGAUCUUUAACACAUUCGUUUGUGCUACACUGUGAUCUUUCAAAAUAAUUUUGAUGGUGAAAUAUAUAAAAACAUGAUAGGGUUAUAUUUCUCCCAUUCAUGGUGCAUGAUGAUGUGUAACUUUUAAUAUUUGUUUUAGUUAUUGUAAUUAUUAUAAAACAAGGGUGUGUGGAGUUCUAUGGUAAAAAGGGGAGAGGGAUUUUUCUAAUUAUUUUUAUUUCAAUUAUAUUGGAAAUUACCAUGUCUUUCACAAAUGAUCUUACAAUAAAGAUUACUGUAUCAAACAAUAUGAACAAUAUGAACAUGUUCAACUUACAUGCAAUAAAUGAUUUGGGUAGGUAUCAUGUUAUAUUAUUUGAACUAUUUUUUAUUAGUUAAAAUAUUUAUAAAAUAUAACAAAAUAUUACAGUUUGACUAUUUACGAUGAUAAAUAAAGAUAGAUCACUAUACAUGUGUUCAUUACACUCAACUUAUGUCAUGAUAGACACUCAAAUUGUGUUACAUGAUAAAUACAUAAGAGUCUAUCUUAAUAUAUUAUAGCUAGAUUGUAAUAUUUUAAUUACUAUAUUUAUAUAUUUAAGUUGUGUGAAUUAAAAUAAUUUUUUAUAAUUUGUCUUGAAAAUAUAAAACCUUAAUUUACAUAUACUUUGUUAAUACAAUAUACCUUAGCGUUACGAGGAUGACUUAAUAUUAUGUUAGAAAACUAUUUUGGUAAAAGACAAUCAUUUGUGCUAAUUAUAUUUUGUGAGCAAGAGCAUGGAUGUAGUUAAAUAUUCAUAUCGUAGGAUACUUUGUUAUAUCAAAAAUGAAAUAUAAGUUUAUAGAUUGGAGGUGAGAAAAUUUGUGUAUAUGUUAAGUCCCUUAAUUUAAAAUGUCCAUAUUCUCACAUAGGUGAUCUAAAUAAAUAACAAAAUUAUGAAUUUAGUUGACAACCAUGGAGAGAAAUUAAAAAGACAAGAGAGAGAACAUUAGGACACAUGUGCUCCAUUAUUAGGCAAGUAUCAUUGAUUAUUUCAUAUAGGUAAUUAAACACAGUAAUACCCCUUAUUUAUAUAUAUAAAUAAAGGGCAUAUUAUUCUGAAGAUAGGGGAGAGCAAUCUAAUACUACUUAUACUCGAGUACUGCUUCAAACCUCACGAGUUUAUAGUUAUUUUCUGGAAAAUACUUGUCUAUUUCAACCACAUAUGUUACAGGAUAUCCAUCGCAAGUUUUAGCUUCUAUCACAAGAAUAUAUGACCAUAUUUUAAUCAAAAUAAUAAAACGGGGUGCUAAACCACUCACUGCACGAAUGAAAACUAGAUUGUCAUUUUCUUUCUUGUUAUGUUCUUCCACUGCUAUCUUUCCAGCUUCUAUCACGCUUGGGCUAUGGACAUUCUCAAUCAGCUCAUAAAUAUUUGGAGGUACUUGUACACAACUCAUGAUAUUUGAACUGUUGGAUAUGG
rnacentral:lncRNA from 1 species